rnacentral:rRNA from 1 species
GACGAACGCUGGCGGCGUGCUUAACACAUGCAAGUCGAACGGAAAGACCCUGCUUUUGUUGGUUUCUCGAUUGGCGAACGGGUGUGUGACACGUGAGUAACCUGCCCUUGACUUUGGGAUAACUUCUGGAAAAUGCGGCUAAUACCGGAUAGGAGCUCCUGCUGCGUGGUGGGGGUUGGAAAGUGCCGGCGGUAGUGGCUGGAUUCGCGGGUUAUCAGCUUGUUUGUGAGGUAGGUGCGUACCAAGGCUUUGACGGGUAGCCGGCAUGAGAGGUGGGCCGGCCUCAAUGGUCCUGCGGUAGGCCCCAGUAUCCUACGUGACGCAGUAGUGGGGAAUAUUGCGCAACGGCGGCACGCGUGUUGCAGCAACCCCCGGAUCGGGAUGCUCUCUUUUGGGUUAUAAACCGAUUUCGACUGUGCCGAGCCGUGAGUGACGGUACUGGGUCAAGAAGCACCGGCUAACUACGUG